CAAACAUAAACCCCCUAGCCAGGCGCGUAGGCUACUUGGAUUAUUUAAAAUGGCUAAAGUACAGUUGUUGAGAAUGUUUCUCAACCAGCGUUUAACAGCAGCUGCUGAUGAGAUAUUUGGGGCUGUUGAGAAAACGAUAGCAGAGUACCUGGAAGAAGUGUACAAAAAAAAAAAAUUGGAAUGUAUGUACUUGUAAGUCGCGCUGGAUAAGAGCGUCUGCUAAAUGACUUAAAUGUAAGUGUAUCGUUCAAAAGAGGAGAACGGCCGUCUACAGAGGCAGCUUGAUAUCGUUCUCAAACCACCAGAGAUACAAUUACAUGGGACAGACCUUCAGCAGCUCUCUCUCACUGUCUUCGAAGAGGAGGUUCGCCCUGAGCAGCAACACUGUGAGCAGGAGUGGAGCCCCAGUCUGGGGCAAGAAGACCCAGAGCCCACACAGAUUAAAGAGGAACAACAGGCGCAACACAGGACCAGUCAGGAGGAAAAGUUUCAUAAUUAGCUCUGACUGUGUGAAAAGUGACUAUGAUCAGGAAGUGGACUUAUGUCAGCCCUCACAUCUUUACCAAACCCAAAGUGAGGAAUAUGGACAGGGAGCCUCUCUACCUACCACCUCAUCGGAACAGAUCAAAGCUGAACCUGAUGGAGAGGGCUACAGAGUAUUAGAACUAACGAGUGACUCUCAGCCCCUCUCUGCAGUAAAUCCAGACUGUUCUCCAAUCCCAAGUGAAUACAGGGAAGGUGUCAAAGAAGAGGAAACAGAACAUUGGAUUAGGUUUAAGCCACUCAAAUCAAAGAAAGCACAGAAAAUAACAAGCCAAAGCUACGGUAUCUGGAAAAAAGGAAGGAAAUCCACAGUCAUAUCCCAUUUGAGCCCACACAGUCAAAGCCUUACUCCCUGUUGGUGUGGUGUGUGUGGAAAUAAAUGUUACUCUGUAACAUACACGAGAACACACAUGGUAUAGACCUAGAUUGCCUUUGUGGUGUCUGUGGAAAACACUUUGAGUCCAAAGAAAUUCUUCUAGACCAUCUCCAAACUCACAUGAAAAAUAUUUUUUUGUCACUUAUGUGGUCAAUGUUUCAACUGGACUAGUAAUCUGAAAAGACAUAUGAUGAUUCACACAGGGGAAAGACCCCAUUGUUGCAGUGACUGUGGCAAAGGCUUCAGGUCGAGUGAUUGUCUGACAAAGCAUAGGAGGAUUCACACAGAGGACAAACCGUUUCCUUGCCCGGUUUGCCAUCGUGGUUUUAACAGACGAGAUAACCUGAAAGUGCAUAUGAGAGUUCACACAGGGGAGAGACCGUAUAUGUGUUCUGAAUGCUAUAAAUGUUUUGCCACGUUAGCUUCGCUGAAUAAGCACCAGACAAUGCACAAUGAGGAACGACCGUAUGUGUGCACUGAUUGCAGUACACACUUGAAUCCCAAAGAAGGCACAUGAAGGAGAAUACAACAUGACAAUGCCUUGUAUGGGUUAUGGUAUCAGAUAGAAGAUUGAGGCGCAUUCUAACCAACAUUGGACAGGAGAACAGCCCUACAAGACAAAUGCAUUGCAUUAUGGAAUCAGCACAGUAGUAUCCAUUACCCAUUACUUAGUUUACCAACCGCAAAUAGCAGACAGAGGUUGUUUAUGUGCAUGUGUUUCUAUAAAGGGUCGCAUUCUGUAUCUUGUUGACAGCCAAGCGCAUUUAUUUUUUAUAAAUCCACAGUGGGACGCAUUUAAUUGGCUGGGAUGCUGGAUCCGGCCUAACCCAAAUCCAGGCCUACGUAAACCCAACCACAGAAGUGAUCUAAUGUUGACCUGUUAUGAUGGGAAUGAAAAUUAUCUUCUCAACAUUCUGAAUAAAGUUUGUAUUUUUGGUCUCAAUUUCAA